rnacentral:lncRNA from 1 species
CCGCUUUUAAACAAAUUAACGGGUCCACACCCCAACUUUUCCAACCCGGACAGAACGACAGCCAAAAGAGGAAUUGAAAGAACCACAACGGUACGCCCAAAGCUUUUACAUGAUCACUAGGCUAACAAAAGGAGGAAAAACACCAAGAUGAUGUCACCUAAAAAAUACAUUGACAAAUACAGUGUAAAAUUCACUAAAAACCAUAGUAAUUUCUAUCAUGCCCAUUGAGAAUUAUAGUGAAAGAUGCAUUAAAGUGACACUGCAAAAAUCCACUAAAAUUACACUGUAAAUCCACUAAAAAACUGCUAAGAUUAAACACUAAGAAUUACAGUGUAAAAUCCACUAGAAUUACACUUUUGCACUGAAAAACUGCUAAGAUAAAACACUAAGAAUUACACUGUAAGGAACAUUAAAGAAACCACUGUAAAAUCCACUAAAAAGACACUGUAAAUCCACUAAUAAAUCCAAGAUGAUAUGUGUUUUUGGAACUGUCUGAAAUCCAAUUCGUUUCCAGUCAUAGUUUUUGGCAACACAGAGUUUAACUAGUGUCACAUGUGCUCCGUUUUGUUCCUGUCCCCUGAAUGUGUCGAUGUGCUUGUCCACCCAUUCAAAAAAGAAAUCACCGGGGGAAUUCCUCCAAGAUCCAGAGGGCAAACCUGGAGAAAAUCAUGGAUGCACAGGUAAGAGAUCCUCACCUGACAAUCUUCUCCACCUCCCUGUGAACAGUUCCCUCUCCU